CGUGUAGGCGGCUGGAUAAGUCAGAUGUGAAAGCCCUGGGCUUAACCCAGGAAGUGCAUUUGAAACUGUUCAGCUUGAGUAAGGGAGAGGAGAGUGGAAUUCCUGGUGUAGAGGUGAAAUUCGUAGAUAUCAGGAGGAACACCGGUGGCGAAGGCGACUUUCUGGCCCUAUACUGACGCUGAGACGCGAGAGCGUGGGUAGCAAACA
rnacentral:rRNA from 1 species